UCAAGCUAAUAAGAGCACAGGGUGGAUGCCCAGGCACCAAACGCCGAUGAAAGACGUGGCAAGCUGCGAAAAGUCACGGGGAACCGCAAGCAGGUAUUGAUCCGUGAACGUCUGAAUGGGGAAACCCGGCGGGUUAACAGCCCGUCACUAUUAACUGAAUCAAUAGGUUAAUAGGGGGAACGCGGGGAACUGAAACAUCUCAGUACCCGUAGGAAGAGAAAAUAAAGAAUGAUUUCCUAAGUAGCGGCGAGCGAACGGGAAAGAGGCCAAACCGAAGGGCUUGCUCUUCGGGGUUGUGGAUCAGCAAAAAGGACGGAAGACCUUAGCAGAAGAGGAUUGGAAAGUCCCGCCAGAGGGGGUAAAAGCCCCUUACGCGAAAAGGUCAAACGACGAGCUGACACCAGAGUACCGCAGGACACGAGAAAUCCGGUGGGAAGCCGGGAGGACCACCUCCCAAGCCUAAAUACGAAUUGGUGACCGAUAGCGCAUAGUACCGUGAGGGAAAGGUGAAAAGAACCCCGGGAGGGGAGUGAAAAAGAACCUGAAACCCUGUGUUUACAAGCAGUGAAAGUGCAAGUUAGGCACGAUCACGUACUUUUUGUAGAACGGACCGGCGAGUUACGUUAUGCAGCAAGGUUAAGAACUAAAGGUUCGGAGCCGAAGCGAAAGCGAGUCUGAAUAGGGCGAUAGUUGCAUGACGUAGACCCGAAACCGGGUGACCUAUCCAUGAGCAGGUUGAAGUGGAGGUAAAGCUCCAUGGAGGACCGAACCAGACGUCUGUUGAAAAAGGCGGGGAUGACUUGUGGAUAGGGGAGAAAUUCCAAUCGAACCCGGAGAUAGCUGGUUCUCCUCGAAAUAGCUUUAGGGCUAGCCUCAUGGAUCAUUGAUGGGGGUAGAGCACUGAAUGUGCGCGGGGGCCACAAAGCCUACCAAACGCUAUCAAACUUCGAAUACCAUACAAUGCAGACCAUGGGAGUCAGUCCGCGAGAGAUAAGUUCCGCGGGCAAAAGGGGAACACCCCAGAUCAACCGCUAAGGUCCCCAAGUUCACGUUAAGUGGAGAAGGAUGUGGAAUUGCACAGACAACCAGGAUGUUGGCUCAGAAGCAGCCACACAUUUAAAGAGUGCGUAAUAGCUCACUGGUCGAGUGAUUGUGCGCCGAAGAUGUCCGGGGCUAAACGUGACACCGAAGCGAUGGGUGCAUCUGAAGAAGAUGCGCGGUAGAGGAGCAAUGUGCAGAGGCAGAAGCCGUAUCGAGAGGCACGGUGGACACUGCACAAGAGAGAAUGCCGGUAUGAGUAGCGAGAGGCAUGCGAGAAACAUGCCCGUCGAAAGCCCAAGGUUUCCUGGGGAAGGUUCAUCCGCCCAGGGUAAGUCGGGGCCUAAGCCGAGGACGGAAGUCGUAGGCGAUGGACAGCAGGUGUAGAUUCCUGCACUACCGAUGGAAUGAAGCAGUGACACAGAAGGAUAACUCGAGCAGGGUGAUGGUCAACCCUGUGCAAGCAUCAAGGUUGGGUUGUAGUGAAGUACGCAACCCUAUAAGCUGAGAUGUGAUGCGGACCGAAAUUUCAGUAGGGAAGCGAGUGAGUUCACGCUGGCGAGAAAAGCUGCUAGUAUAUCCAAAGGUACCCGUACCGGAAACCGACGCAGGUGGGCGAGGAGAGAAUCCUGAGACGAACGGGAGAACCCUUGUUAAGGAACUCGGCAAAAUGACCCCGUAACUUCGGGAUAAGGGGUGCCUGCGAGAGCAGGCCGCAGAGAAUAGUCACAAGCGACUGUUUAGCAAAAACACAGGUAUCUGCGAAAGCGAGAGCUGACGUAUAGGUGCUGACACCUGCCCGGUGCUGGAAGGUUAAGGGAACAUGUUAGAGCAAUCGAAGCAUCGAACCGAAGCCCCAGUAAACGGCGGCCGUAACUAUAACGGUCCUAAGGUAGCGAAAUUCCUUGUCGGGUAAGUUCCGACCCG
rnacentral:rRNA from 1 species